UUCGGAGGUGGCUAGCGUCGGUGGGAAUCACUGGGCGUAAAGCGCGUGUAGGCGGAUAUGCAAGCAAGAGGUGAAAGCCCAGGGCUUAACCUUGGAACUGCCUUUUGAACUGUAUAUCUGGAGUUUUGGAGGGGAGUGUGGAAUUCCUAAUGUAGAGGUGAAAUUCGUAGAGAUUAGGAGGAACACCGGUGGCGAAGGCGGCACUCUGGACAAAUACUGACGCUGAGGCGCGAAAGCGUGGGGAGCAAACAGG
rnacentral:rRNA from 1 species